rnacentral:SRP_RNA from 1 species
GCCAGGUGUGGUGGCACGUGCCUGUAGUCCCAGCUACUGAGGUUGGAAGAUCACUUGAGCCCAGGAGUUCUAGACUGUAGUGCACUAUGCCGAUGGAGUGUCCACACUAAGUUCAGCAUCAAUCUGGUGACCUCCUGGGAGCGGGGGAACACCAGGUUGCCUAAGGAGGGGUGAACUGGAGGCCCAGGUCAGAAAUGAAGCAGGUCAAAACUCCCGUGCCGAUCAGUAGUGGGAUCACACCUGUGAAUAGCCACUGCACUCCAGCCUGGGCAACACAGCGACACCCCGU